rnacentral:lncRNA from 1 species
UGCGAUUCUCCGGCAUAAGUAGACUGGAUUCUCCCAAGGAAUACCAGCUAGACCCCCUAUUUCUUCAAGUAAAUGGGUCAUUUAGAGGUCUCUGAAGCGAAAAACUGACCGAUCACUGUCCCAGAAUAAAGUAGCAACUUCAAUAAUUUUGAUGUCAGGCCGGACUUCCAGGAGUGAAGGAAGAUUUCCUAAGUACUUGCGGACAAGGGUCUGAUCACUGUCAUGAAGGUCCUCCCACCGGCUUAGCAGCCUUUGGUGCAUGUUGGUUACCAUAUCGAAUCUGGGGACUUCGUGCCUCAUUUUCUGCAAAACAAAGUGUUAGGCACCUACACCACCACACUUGACUAUUUAAAUCAAUAAUUGGCAAUGAAGACAUUUCAUUCCCUAAAUAAAUGAGCAUAACGUGGAGGUGUCUGUUUGGGUUUCAAGGAAACCCAAUGGAUUUUGGUUUAGGCUAUAUUAAUGAGUCAUUAUGCGGACAACAUAACUGACUCGGCUAUGUUUGACCAUGAUGCAUGAAUAGUUUAAUGGAAUAAGGUUUCUACUUUUGAAGUGCUAGACAAGGUACCAUUGAGUGGAUAACUCAAGAGGGACACGCGGGAAACCGUCAACUAUACCGUUGAUCAACUAGUUUUACCAUAAAUAUUCCUAGCGGAUAACUCAAGAGGGAAAGACGCGGAACCGUCGACUACACCGUUGAUCGACUAGUUUUACCAUAAAUAUGCCUUUGCCAUAUUUAGGGGAUUAUAAUAUCAGAAGGAUGCAACCACUCAUUAUAAGCAUUUCUAUAGGAUUUGUUUUUGGCACGAGUGAAAUAUGAUAUUGAAGAAUGCAGUAACAAGAAUGAAGCAAAUUGUAUGUAUUUUUAUGUUCAUAAAGUAAAAGAUUACAAUAAAUGCUAGAAAAUUACAACUGUAUUGAAAUAAUAAUAAGGCAGUAAAGGAUGAAAUUAAAAGAAAGGGAAAACAUGAAGAGCCAAGUUAGUAUGCAUGAUGAAAUAAUUAAAGGCGGGACAUAAAGCCAAUUAAGGAAGCAAUAAAGUGACAAAAGCAUGUAAUGGUAAAAGCCUUAAAGAACUCCCCACAGCAAAGUCGACAUGUUGUCGACGCCCCCUUUUUCCCCUUUUCUAAAAGAAAGAAAUCGGGUUUACAAUAUAAUGGACAAAAUAACUCUUAUUCCCUUUUGAGGAAUCGAUUUAUAGAAUUUGAAGAGUUGUCACCUAAUGAUUAUAGUGCAUUAGGACACUUUAAAGAAAAGAAGAAGAUUUUGAAAGAAAACCAAAGUUCAGGUAAGGGAUAGUGAUUAUCUCGAGGGCAAGGUAUUAGGCACCCCUCAAGAUCCACUAGUGUGGUUCCCAAUCAUGAUUAAUUAUGACUUUAAAGGAAUGGAAAGCAAGUAAGGUUUACACAUACUAGUUACAAAUAAGUUUGAAAAUUUGAAAAAACAAGGAAGAGUAGACAAUCUUUUAGAAAGGGAGUUGAUGCAAAGAAAUGAAAGAACUUAAGGAAAAUAUUACAAAAGAAAAGAAAGGAGGUCCUAGGUUUAAAUACAAUAUGGAUCAAAUCAAUGCAAUACCCAGCAAUCACUCCUCAAAAGAGGGGCCGCACGAGAUAUUAGUGCACCGGUCAUCAUAUCCAUAUUCUACCCUACUCACCCUGUUAAGGUAUUUAAUGCGAUUAGUCUCGUUUACUUAUUGCAUGCUAGUACCCGUCCCAAUCCUAUCAGUCCUCCCCCCAAAGGUUAUUUAAACGUGUGGAUUGGUCACGACUGCUUAUUGCGUGCUAUUACCCGUCUCGUCCUAUACGUCCUAGAGUGUAUUUAGAACCAUUAUUCCUAUAAGGCAAGGACUAGGCUGCAUCCUUAGGUUUAAAGGUUAAAAUACUACUCGACAUGCAUAAAAAUAAGACUUCACAUAAAGGAGUCAUACAAAACCAAAUAAAAGGCUCGAGAAACCCUCCAUUGAUAGCAUAUAAUAGCACGUCUCAGUCACAUUUAUGGUAAAAAUGAGAUUUUAAAACAAGAAUAUUGAAGAUCAAUUUUUGGCAGAAAGUAGAAAAUUUGAUCGAAAUUUUAGACUUGUGAAAGAAAUGGCGGUAAGUAUAUGGAAAUUAAGGAAUUAGUAAAGAAUAAUUUAAGACACGCUUUGAAAAAUAUAUAGCAGAAGUGUUAAAUAUGUAGUAUCCUAGAAGUAAAAAUAGCACGAUUUUGGCCAUGAGAGGUUACCCAGUAGAAAACAUAACAUAACAAAUGCAAGUUUAUGUGAUUAUCUAAAAAUAGGACAGAAGUUCAGAAGGAAAAUAAAGCGGACUUCAAAGAGGAGAAAAUGAGAAACAAGUUCGGACAGUUAAAAGAGCGUGAAUAGUCUAAAACUGGUGAAAACAAGAUUAAUUGAUUUAUUAGGUCCUAAAGAUUGGCUAGGUGUUAUAUAUAUUGCCUGAUUGCAUAUUUGAUUUCUAGUUUUUAAGAGAGACCGUUAGCCAAACGUAUGUUAUUAAAUUAAACAAGACUAGUGGUCGUUCAAACAGUUGCAACUCAUGUUGAAUAAAAUCCUAAAUACAUAAUAUCUAAUACACAUAAAGGUCCUAAAACAUGAUAUCUAAAUGCUAGUAAGGAUGCUGCAGCAAUAUUACAACGGAAGUUUGUUGGUUAUUAACUAAUUGUGAUUACGAAGUGAUAAUAACAAACUGAAAAUAAAAAAAGACUAAACAUGAUUUCUAAUCAUGUGAGAUGCAUGUGAGGAUGUCUAUUGCACAAAUAAAUAAAAUCCUAUAAACAUGUUUUCUACACAUACCCUUAAACUAUGCAUGAAUAGUCCCCCCCCCCCCCCNNNNNNNNNNNNNNNNNNNNNNNNNNNNNNNNNNNNNNNNNNNNNNNNNNNNNNNNNNNNNNNNNNNNNNNNNNNNNNNNNNNNNNCCCCCCCCCCCCAUUUGACUAUAAAGCCCAAUCAUUUGUUACAAAUUAUCACAAACCAAGAUAAUUAAAUUACAGUAGUAAAAAAUAAGAAGUUAUUCUAUAGGGAGCAUUCAACCAGUCCCAAGUAUCCAACCUCACUUCUCUUUGAGUUUUACAGCCUUUUACCAAUGUUUGGGUGUGGCAAAGCUCCCUAAGGGCCUAUUGGAGCCCCUGGCCAAUACCAGCCACCCAAACUAAUUAAGUUUGAACCACUGCAAGUGUGGAAUUACCAGCCUUGUGCAUCAAUGUUCAGUGGGUACUCAAGGUACGCAAAGCAAUGCUUGCACUUGUGGGGUAGAACCUAGAUUCUAGGAGUAGUGAGAUUGUGAUAGAGUUUUGAGUUGAAAAAAAUAGUUUAAAGAAGGUCCAUAGAGAACCAGCCUUGAAAGAAAACCACAGAAAAGUAUGUUAAAGUUCUUUAAAGCAAUUGAGUUUUUUAAAAGUAGUUAAAGAUGAUUCACAUGGAACCAGUUUUGAAAGAAAAGAACAGAAGAGACAAUAUCAAGUUAUAGGGUUCAAGGAAUACAUGCACAAACAGGGGAAAGGGGAAUGGUGACAAGUAGCUCCUACGAUAGAACACAACUGCAUACAUAUAUCAAAGAAAAGUACUUCAGAAGUUAAACAAUCAGGCAGGUUUCAGCCAAAGAGACCAGGAUCACAUGCUGGACACGUACUGGACUAAGGAGCAGGAGAGACGUCCAUUAAUCACAAUCAGCAGACAUGCUGAAUUGGGUAAUCAUAUCAAUGAACUAGCAAAGAGGCAUGCUUAAUUGCAAUGUAAACAGCAGAACCAUAAGUUGAAGCAUGCAAUAAACAAAAGAAAGUGUAAUACAAAUAAAAGCAUGUUGUUUUGAAGCUGUAAAUCGAAUAGGAGACAUACCAGUUGAAGGUAAGGUAAUUCAAAGAAUUAGGGAGCAGUAAUAUGCAGGGUGGUGAGCAAUAAUGUGCAGAGAAGUGAGCAGCAGUACACAGAGAGGUGAGCAGCAGAAUAGGCAAAGAAGUGAGCAACAACAGGCAGACCAAAGCAAGUAGCAGAGAAAAGAAUAGUAGAACAGCAAAGUAGGCUAAGUUCAGCCUGGGAUUUAAAUCAAUUGUUUAUCUAGUAGUCACAAGGGAAAUGAGAGAGGUUGGGUAGAGACAAGAGAGAACAGUGAAUAUCUUUUUGUGUAAGAGAGAGUUAAAAAUGAUGAAUUCUGUUUGUGUUUGAAAUGAGUAGAGAGGAGAGUAUAUAAAGUAGUUGAGGGCAGCGUAAAAAUAAGGUAAAGGGAAUCAAUUUCAUCAAUCAAUGAAGCCACAGAAUAAAUCAGGCAAAAGAAAUCAGCAAGUUUUCUCCUGAUUAAAGGGUAAUUAGCCAAUGGUAAAGAGAUAAAGCAAUACUUGGGUUUAGGGUAGACAACUUAGGGUAAAUACACCAAUGUUCCAUUAAGGAAGCCAAUAGUGAAGAAUCAAUAAGCAACAUGGUUAACCAAAAUUAAGGUAUGAAACUAAUUAAGGUCCCAAAUACACGGGAAUAUUCUAGAAUAAGCACAUAGGUAUUACCAUAUCAAUUUAGUGAAUCAAGGAUUCGAAACGACACUGAUUUAGGAGAAAACAUAGACUUCCAUGAAUAAGCGAAUAAGCCUAAGUAUAAAUGGAAAGAAUCGAGUCUGAAACUUUAAUAGAGACAUACUAGGGCAGAAAUCAAAAGAUAUCUAAUUACGAAGAAAGAAAUCACAUAAAUCAUAGCACAGAACAUAGGCGUGCAUCAAAUAACGUGGAUGAGCACAGAAUCUGAACAAUGUUUCAAAAAUGGGGGUUCUAGCAUAGGCUAGUUAGGGCUAAGGAAGUACUCAACAAAAUUAGUCAAAACUCAUAGACAACAACAACGACAACUACCGAAGAAAGCAAUUACAUAAGUCAAAGCAUAGAACCUAGCCAUAUAUCAAAUAACACGGAUGAGCACAGAAUCUGAACAAAGUUACAAAAAUUGGGGGUUCUAGAAUAGUCUAGUUAGGGUUAAGGAAGAACUCAACUAAAUCAGUCAAAACUCAUAGACAAUACUUAAAAUACAGAAAGCAUUUCGAAGCAAAGGAAUUUAUAAACCCUAGUUUUGAGAAGAAGAACAAACGUUGAAAGACCUUGAAUAAUCAAAGAACUCGAGUAACGAGUAUUGUAAAACACAAAGAAUAAACUGAAAAUUCAUUUUAGAAGUUAGAGAUUAAAAGACUUAGACAAACAUUAGGGUUUUGCAAUAAAAUGAGUGAGGUGAGGAGCCAUGGCUGUGAAACUCGUUAAUAAUAGUACCAUCUGAUUGGAAACCACCAGAGAGAGGGCCGAAGAUAAGCCAAGCAAGGCUUCCAGGGAUCAUCUUUCAUGGUGGAAGUCUCGGGGCUUCAACCCUGAAAGAGAAGCAAUGAGACAAGGUUCCAUGGUGACUGGUGGUCAAGAGAAGUGCGAAUGGAGAUGGCCGGAGAGACGAUGAAGAUCAUCGGAGAAGAACCAGAAGGUUCUGGCGCGAAGGAGGAGAUGAAGGGACCAAGAG